AUGCAAGUGGAGGAUGAAGAGCUCUUGGGCGCCGGAGGAGGAAGGUCGGAAAGGACCACUCCCGAGACGGACGCUGAGUUCCACCAGCUGGCGGCCCUGGCGUCAUCCACCGCUUAUGCCCAGCCAAAUGGGGUAACCCAGAGGCGCGGAGUGGUGCGGGGAGAUAGCACCGGAGGAGAGGAAGGUUCACCUUCCCCAGGCCCGCAAAAGAUGGUGUUUCUGGAGGAGAGGAUGUCGGCGAUGGAGACCACCCUGGCAGUGAUGUCGAGGGCGAUGGAGCGCCUGGCGGUUUUGGCGGAGCCGGAGCGAGGAAGGGAACUCCGGGCUAGCUCAAUGUGGGACGUGAGCAUGGGAAGUAGCCAGGGCUUUGCAGACCUCCCAGCACCGAAGGGAAGGGAAAUGCGAAAGGAGCCCGGUGCCCGGCCCAAGAUCCAAACGAGCCUGACGCGGGUGGAGGAGAGUGACGACGAAGGGGAAAAGCCUCCGAGAAUCCCGGCUACGCUCCCAACUGAGACCCUGGUGCCCCUGGCGAAUGCCGGGCGUGGCACAGGACAAAGGGAAGCAGCAGCGGGGCCCACUGGCCCGCAAGGGGGCUUGCGACGGGCGGAGGAUUGGGGAUUGCCACCACAGGGACCCCUACCGAGACGAGAGGAACUAAGGAUCGAGUUUGGGGGAGAGUCCUCUGAACUGGAUUUUUUCCUGACCACGGUGAGGGGCUAUAUGGAGGACAAUGCCCACACUUUCAGAACGGAAUCCAGCCGGGUACGGGCCAUUGGUGCAGUGUUGAAGAGGGGAGCGGCCAGCUGGUACGUUCAACUACACGCGCGGCGCGACCCAUGUCUGGGAUCACUCCGACGCUUUAUGGGGGCCCUGGAGACCCGUUUCCGAGAUCCACUGGAGCAGAUCCGGGCGAGGGAGGAGUUGAAGACCGUCUCCCAGGGGCAGAGGUCGGUAUCUGAGUAUGCGGAGGAGUUCCAAUGCCUCGCUGAAAAGGUGCCGGAAUGGUCUGCAGUGACAAAGAUAGAACUCUUCAAAGAGGGGCUCAGGCGGGAGAUCCUCUCCUGGGCGGUGCAUCGUGAUGAGCCUGACACACUGCGCGGAUGGAUUCAGCUGGCGGGGCGCGUCGAGACAUCGCUGGCCCAGGCGAGGAGGCACCGAGGAGGGCUACAGCAGCGGCCGCAGAUGAAAGAGGGGAGCCGGAAGGAGGGAUCAACCCCAGCCGGGAGGAGAACGGAGCCGACAGGGAACGUGAGCACCAGCAGGAGGGGCUGCUUCGUGUGCGGCCGUUUGGGCCACAGGGCUGCCGAGUGCUGGCAGAGAAAAGGGGAAGGCGGAGGCCCGCCCAAACCAAGAGCCGUGGCAGGGAAACGCGCCGAGGAAGAACCACCGAUGAGGCACCACUCGGGGGGGUUGGACGAAGGGGAGGAGGACGCCAUGUCAGAACCCUGCUACUAGAGCCUGGAUGUGGCUCUGAGUUUCAGGGUCACUGACAUUGAUAAGACACCUGCGUCCCAGGACUCGGAGGAGAAACGGCUGAUGGACUUGGCGGGGAAUUUGCGCGGGGUUUUACUGAGCGGGAAGAGACUGUUCAAAUGAGGGGGAGGGUAUAUAAAGGAGGGUUGGCCGGAGCCUCCCAUUCUUGGCUUUUCUGAUGUUCAUGUUUCCUACAGUAAAAGUUUCUGGUGAGAUCACAGAGAGUCUUGUGUGUUCAUUCAGGAGCGGCUGUGGUGAGCUGACAGAAAUAUAUUGUCAAGGGGACCCAAAUCUAGAUAUAAAAUUAAUAUGUUUCACAUACACCUUAUACACACAGACUGAAGAUAACUGUAUACAUAGUAUUUUAAAAAUAAUUUGUACAUGAAACAUUUGUGUGCACUGAAUCUUCAGAAAGCAAUGGUUUCACGCUCUCAGCCACUCAUGGACGUUUUUGGAUUUUAGAACGUUUCCAGUUUUUUAAAAUUCCAUAUAAGGGAUGCUCAACCUGUAUUUCUAAAUUGGUGGCUGGAGAGAAAAGGGUGUUUCAAGAAUUCAGCAGUUGGAGAGAGGGAGAUGUUGAAACCAUUCCAAACGUAUUUUCCCCAUUGAAUGAAAGCUGUUAGAAGUUGGCAAAUGUCAUCAAGUUACGGC
rnacentral:lncRNA from 1 species